AAUAUUGGUCAAUGGGCGAGAGCCUGAACCAGCCAUGCCGCGUGUAGGAAGACGGCCUUCUGGGUUGUAAACUACUUUUAUACAGGAACAAAUAGUCCAUGCGUGGAAAGUUGAGUGUACUGUAUGAAUAAGCACCGGCUAACUCCGUGCCAGCAGCCGCGGUAAUACGGAGGGUGCGAGCGUUGUCCGGAUUUAUUGGGUUUAAAGGGUGCGUAGGCGGUCAAUUAAGUCAGUGGUGAAAUCCUAUAGCUUAACUAUAGAACUGCCAUUGAUACUGGUUGACUUGAGUACAGACGAGGUAGGCGGAAUUUAUGGUGUAGCGGUGAAAUGCAUAGAUACCAUAAAGAACACCGAUAGCGAAGGCAGCUUACUGGACUGUAACUGACGCUGAGGCACGAAAGCAUGGGUAGCGAACAGGAUUAGAUACCCUGGUAGUCCAUGCCGUA
rnacentral:rRNA from 1 species